rnacentral:rRNA from 1 species
GAUGAACGCUGGCGGCGUGCCUAUACCUGCAAGUCGCGCGAACGGACGAGAAGCUUGCUUCUCUGAUGUUAGCGGCGGACGGGUGAGUAACACGUGGAUAACCUACCUAUAAGACUGGGAUAACUUCGGGAAACCGGAGCUAAUACCGGAUAAUAUUUUGAACCGCAUGGUUCAAAAGUGAAAGACGGUCUUGCUGUCACUUAUAGAUGGAUCCGCGCUGCAUUAGCUAGUUGGUAAGGUAACGGCUUACCAAGGCAACGAUGCAUAGCCGACCUGAGAGGGUGAUCGGCCACACUGGAACUGAGACACGGUCCAGACUCCUACGGGAGGCAGCAGUAGGGAAUCUUCCGCAAUGGGCGAAAGCCUGACGGAGCAACGCCGCGUGAGUGAUGAAGGUCUUCGGAUCGUAAAACUCUGUUAUUAGGGAAGAACAUAUGUGUAAGUAACUGUGCACAUCUUGACGGUACCUAAUCAGAAAGCCACGGCUAACUACGUG